GUAUUUCGAAUUAUGUAUUCAAAAAAUUUCAGACAAAAAAUUUCAAUAAAGGGUUGGUAUUAUACUGCCAAGAACGCGCAAAAACGCGAACUCGUCAGCAAACAUUGCACACAAGGUGAAUACUGAUUUUAAAAAGUGCAGUAAAACACUUAUUAUGAAUGAUCCUUCCGCAGGUUCACCUACGGAAA
rnacentral:misc_RNA from 1 species